UCCGCUUGCCCCAGGAACCCUAAGCCUAACUCUAACCCUAGUUGCUUCAUUGUUAUUUUCACCACCCCGAAAUCCUAAACCCCUUCCCCCAACCGAUGGAUCCCCACCGCGACCAUCACGCCGAGAACGGCAGCCACGACGGCGACGGCAGCGGUGAUGACUCCAACGGCCGCCUCCCGAAGCGGCGGCGGCCGUCGCCGUCCCCCAUCUCCGUCGCCGAGAUCCGCGACGAGUUCUCCCAUCACGACCCCGCCGUCGCCCGCAUCAACAACGGCAGCUUCGGCAGCUGCCCGGCCUCCGUCCUCGCCGCUCAGCUCCGAUGGCAGCGUCUCUUCCUCCGCCAGCCCGACGACUUCUACUUCAACCGCCUCCGGCCGUCCCUCCUCCGCUCCCGCGCCACCAUCAAAGACCUCAUCAACGCCGACGACGUCGACGAGGUCUCCCUCGUUGACAACGCCACCACCGCCGCCUCCAUCGUCCUCCAGCACGUUUCCUGGGCCUUCACCGAGGGCCAUUUCAACAAGGGCGACGCCGUCGUCAUGCUCCACUACGCCUACGGCGCCAUCAAGAAGUCCAUCCAGGCCUACGUCACCCGUGCUGGGGGCCAUGUGAUCGUGGCUCCCCUCCCCUUCCCCGUGACCUCCAACGAAGAGAUCGUUCAAGAAUUCCGGAAGGCGUUGGAGCGUGGGAAGUCCAAUGGCCGGAAGGUCCGGCUGGCCGUCAUCGACCACAUUACCUCGAUGCCGAGCGUCCUCAUCCCUGUCAAAGAAUUGACCAAGAUUUGCCGGGAGGAAGGUGUAGAUAAGGUGUUUGUUGAUGCUGCGCAUGCAAUUGGGAGCGUUGACGUCGACGUGAAGGACAUUGGGGCUGAUUUCUACACCAGCAAUCUCCACAAGUGGUUCUUUUGUCCCCCGUCGGUUGCAUUCUUAUACUCCAAGAAGUGCUUGGCCUCAUCCGAUUUGCACCACCCAGUGGUCUCACAUGAGUAUGGGAAUGGACUCCCGAUGGAGAGCGGGUGGAUCGGUACCCGGGAUUAUAGCGCCCAGCUUGUAGUGCCAUCAGUGAUGGAUUUCAUGAGUAGGUUUGAAGGGGGAAUUGAAGGAAUUCGGAAGAGGAAUCAUGAUAAGGUCGUGGAGAUGGGGAAGUUGCUGGCCAAGUCAUGGGGCACUUGUCUUGGGUCACCACCGGAUAUGUGCACGAGUAUGAUCAUGGUUGGUCUACCAGGAUGCUUGGGAAUUUCAACUGAGAAGGAUGCUCUGAAGUUUAGGAGCUUCUUGAGGGAUCAAUUCCAUGUUGAGGUUCCUGUAUAUCAUCAGUCUCCAAAGGAUGGUGAGAAUGAUGCUUUGGAUUGGAGAAGUUCUGUGACUGGGUAUGUGAGAAUUUCUCAUCAGGUGUAUAAUGUGGAAGAUGACUACAUUAAACUUAGGGAUGUGAUCAACAAGCUUGUUCAUGAUGGAUUCAACUGUACCAUGCUGUCAUACAGUUAGGAAGGUUUAAACCCACAACAAUAUGCCACUAGAGGUGUCUCUCAUGAUGAAAGAAGAAGACCUUGCGCCAUCUUUUCUAUGCUUAUCAUGGUGAAGCUUUAGUACUUAAAAGAGUCACUUGCACCAGCAUUGGAGAAAGAAUUACAAUCCAGGGUUAAUAAGCCAAAGUAUGGAAAUAAUUCUUGGAUGAGUAAAGAUGAUCAUGAUGCUUGACAUUUAGUUGGAAGGGAAUUGCUAAAUACAGUUAGAAUUCUUGUUGGAGUCAUGGUUUCCUGGCCCUCCUGCAGUAGCUGGAAGCAUAUGAUGGCUGUUUAGAUGUAGAUUGCUUAUUGUAAGUGCAAAGAGAUAUCUCCCUCGCAAUGCUUAAGGGGCCAUGCCGGAUACUUUCAGUGCUGUUAGACCGCAUGUUGUAGUUUUGGUCAGCAAUAAAUUUUUGGCAUGUAUGAAACAAAACAGGUUAGUUAAGUUUCAUUGCCAUAAUUAUUGUAUAUCUCAUGAAAUAUCCGUGAGACAGAUCUUGAGGCAUUUAGAGUGUGGAUGUGAUCCAGCACCAUAACUGUGUGGAAGACCUGCCAAUAUCACUUGCUUAACCUACAUGGUUCUUAUCCACACUAGUCGAAAGCCAAGAACUGAUAUUUUUUAUUGUUCUGAUUACCUCUUGGCAUUUCAAAGGAGGGUGCCUCACCGAUGCAUAACAGGUUGUGGUGGCAGAUUGCUGUUCCACUGGAAAAACCUGAAACUGCAUGUAUUGUUGGCACACAUCUAUCCACGGCGAGGCUUCUCAAGAAAAAUGUUAGUAUGAUCUUUUCUUUGGCACGUGACUCUGCU